rnacentral:rRNA from 1 species
CAGCCGCCGCGGGAAUACGAAGGGUGCAAGCGUUAAUCGGAAUUACUGGGCGUAAAGCGUGCGUAGGCGGUUUGUUAAGUCUGUUGUGAAAUCCCCGGGCUCAACCUGGGAAUGGCAAUGGAUACUGGCAAGCUAGAGUGUGUCAGAGGAUGGUGGAAUUCCCGGUGUAGUGGUGAAAUGCGUAGAGAUCGGGAGGAACAUCAGUGGCGAAGGCGGCCAUCUGGGACAACACUGACGCUGAGGCACGAAAGCGUGGGGAGCAAACAGGAUUAGAUACCCCUGUAGUCCCUGUCUCUUAUAC